rfam:Brassica napus, WGS project CCCW01000000 data, contig: 11110
GCGGGGAUAGCUCGAGCGUCAGACUGAAGAUCUGAAGGUUGCGUGUUCCAUCCACGCUCACCGCA